rnacentral:tRNA from 1 species
GCCGAAGUGGCGGAAUGGUAGACGCAGUGGAUUCAAAAUCCACCGCCCUUAAAAGCGUGGGGGUUCGAGUCCCCCCUUCGGUACCA